GAGGAAUAUUGGUCAAUGGACGAGAGUCUGAACCAGCCAAGUAGCGUGAAGGAUGACUGCCCUAUGGGUUGUAAACUUCUUUUAUAUGGGAAUAAAGGAGCCUACGUGUAGGUUUUUGUAUGUACCAUACGAAUAAGGAUCGGCUAACUCCGUGCCAGCAGCCGCGGUAAUACGGAGGAUCCAAGCGUUAUCCGGAUUUAUUGGGUUUAAAGGGAGCGUAGGUGGAGGCUUAAGUCAGUUGUGAAAGUUUGCGGCUCAACCGUAAAAUUGCAGUUGAUACUGGGUUUCUUGAGUACAGUAGAGGUGGGCGGAAUUCGUGGUGUAGCGGUGAAAUGCUUAGAUAUCACGAAGAACUCCAAUUGCGAAGGCAGCUCACUAGACUGGCACUGACACUGAUGCUCGAAAGUGUGGGUAUCAAACAGGA
rnacentral:rRNA from 1 species